CCUGCCUCAUACAGGGGAAUAACAACCGGAAACGGUUGCUGAAAACCGCAUAAUAUGCUAACAUCGCAUGAUGACUGCAUUAAAUAUUUAUAGGUAUGAGAUGGGCCCGCGUCUGAUUAGCUAGUUGGUGAGAUAAAAGCUCACCAAGGCGACGAUCAGUAGCCGGCUUGAGAGAGUGACCGGCCACAUUGGGACUGAGACACGGCCCAAACUCCUACGGGAGGCAGCAGUGGGGAAUAUUGCACAAUGGGGGAAACCCUGAUGCAGCGACGCCGCGUGAGUGAAGAAGUAUUUCGGUAUGUAAAGCUCUAUCAGCAGGGAAGAAAAUGACGGUACCUGACUAAGAAGCCCCGGCUAACUACGUGCCAGCAGCCGCGGUAAUACGUAGGGGGCAAGCGUUAUCCGGAUUUACUGGGUGUAAAGGGAGCGUAGGUGGCGAGUCAAGUCAGAUGUGAAAGCCCGGGGCUCAACCCCGGGAUUGCAUUUGAAACUGGUUUGCUAGAGUGCAGGAGAGGUAAGUGGAAUUCCUAGUGUAGCGGUGAAAUGCGUAGAUAUUAGGAGGAACACCAGUGGCGAAGGCGGCUUACUG
rnacentral:rRNA from 1 species